UACAGAGGUCCCAAGCGUUGUUCGGAUUUACUGGGCGUAAAGGGUGCGUAGGUGGUGAGGUAAGUCUGAUGUGAAAUCUCCGAGCUCAACUCGGAAAUGGCAUUGGAAACUACCCUGCUAGAGGAUUGGAGGGGGGACUGGAAUACUUGGUGUAGCAGUGAAAUGCGUAGAUAUCAAGUGGAACACCAGUGGCGAAGGCGAGUCCCUGGACAACUCCUGACACUGAGGCACGAAAGCUAGGGGAGCAAACAGG
rnacentral:rRNA from 1 species